CACGUAGGGUGCGAGCGUUGUCCGGAAUUAUUGGGCGUAAAGAGCUCGUAGGCGGUGUGUCGCGUCGGCCGUGAAAACCUGCAGCUUAACUGUGGGCUUGCGGUCGAUACGGGCAUCACUGGAGUUCGGCAGGGGAGACUGGAAUUCCUGGUGUAGCGGUGAAAUGCGAAGAUAUCAGGAGGAACACCGGGGGCGAAGGCGGGUCGCUGGGCCGAUACUGACGCUGAGGAGCGAAAGCGUGGGGAGCGAACAGG
rnacentral:rRNA from 1 species